rnacentral:rRNA from 1 species
CGACUUGGAGGUUGUUCCCUUGAGGAGUGGCUUCCGGAGCUAACGCGUUAAGUCGACCGCCUGGGGAGUACGGCCGCAAGGCUAAAACUCAAAUGAAUUGACGGGGGCCCGCACAAGCGGUGGAGCAUGUGGUUUAAUUCGAUGCAACGCGAAGAACCUUACCUACUCUUGACAUCCAGAGAACUUUCCAGAGAUGGAUUGGUGCCUUCGGGAACUCUGAGACAGGUGCUGCAUGGCUGUCGUCAGCUCGUGUUGUGAAAUGUUGGGUUAAGUCCCGCAACGAGCGCAACCCUUAUCCUUUGUUGCCAGCGAUUCGGUCGGGAACUCAAAGGAGACUGCCGGUGAUAAACCGGAGGAAGGUGGGGAUGACGUCAAGUCAUCAUGGCCCUUACGAGUAGGGCUACACACGUGCUACAAUGGCGCAUACAAAGAGAAGCGACCUCGCGAGAGCAAGCGGACCUCACAAAGUGCGUCGUAGUCCGGAUCGGAGUCUGCAACUCGACUCCGUGAAGUCGGAAUCGCUAGUAAUCGUGGAUCAGAAUGCCACGGUGAAUACGUUCCCGGGCCUUGUACACACCGCCCGUCACACCAUGGGAGUGGGUUGCAAAAGAAGUAGGUAGCUUAACCUUCGGAGGGCGCUUACCACUUUGUGAUUCAUGACUGGGGUGAAGUCGUAACAAGGUACC